CACACACAGGUCAUACACACAUACUCUACACACAGGUCAUACACACAUACUCUAUACACAGGUCAUACACACAUACUCUAUACACAGGUCAUACACACACACAGGUCAUACUAACAUACUCUACACACAGGUCAUACUAACAUACUCUAUACACAGGUCAUACUAACAUACUCUAUACACAGGUCAUACACACAUACUCUAUACACAGGUCAUACUAACAUACUCUAUACACAGGUCAUACACACAUACUCUAUACACAGGUCAUACUAACAUACUCUAUACACAGGUCAUACACACAUACUCUAUACACAGGUCAUACUAACAUACUCUAUACACAGGUCAUACACACAUACUCUAUACACAGGUCAUACUAACAUACUCUAUACACAGGUCAUACACACAUACUCUAUACACAGGUCAUACUAACAUACUCUAUACACAGGUCAUACUAACAUACUCUAUACACAGGUCAUACACACAUACUCUAUACACAGGUCAUACUAACAUACUCUAUACACAGGUCAUACACACAUACUCUACACACAGGUCAUACACACAUACUCUAUACACAGGUCAUACUAACAUACUCUAUACACAGGUCAUACACACAUACUCUAUACACAGGUCAUACACACAUACUCUAUACACAGGUCAUACUAACAUACUCUAUACACAGGUCAUACACACAUACUCUAUACACAGGUCAUACACACAUACUCUAUACACAGGUCAUACACACAUACUCUAUACACAGGUCAUACACACAUACUCUAUACACAGGUCAUACACACAUACUCUAUACACAGGUCAUACACACAUACUCUAUACACAGGUCAUACACACAUACUCUAUACACAGGUCAUACACACAUACUCUAUACACAGGUCAUACUAACAUACUCUAUACACAGGUCAUACUAACAUACUCUAUACACAGGUCAUACUAACAUACUCUACACACAGGUCAUACACACAUACUCUAUACACAGGUCAUACUAACAUACUCUAUACACAGGUCAUACUAACAUACUCUAUACACAGGUCAUACUAACAUACUCUAUACACAGGUCAUACUAACAUACUCUAUACACAGGUCAUACACACAUACUCUAUACACAGGUCAUACUAACAUACUCUAUACACAGGUCAUACACACAUACUCUAUACACAGGUCAUACUAACAUACUCUAUACACAGGUCAUACACACAUACUCU